AUUGAACGCUGGCGGCAGGCCUAACACAUGCAAGUCGAACGAGGGGCGGACGGGUGAGUAAUAACUGGGAAACUGCCCGAUGGAGGGGGAUGACUACUGGAAACGGUAGCUGAUACCGCAUACCAUGGGAUGUGCCCAGAUGGGAUUAGCUAGUAGGUGGGGUAAAGGCUCACCUAGGCGACGAUCCCUAGCUGGUCUGAGAGGAGGACAGGCCACACUGGAACUGAGACACGGUCCAGACUCCUACGGGAGGCAGCAGUGGGGAAUAUUGCACAAUGGGCGCAAGCCUGAUGCAGCCAUGCCGCGUGUAUGAAGAAGGCCUUCGGGUUGUAAAGUACUUUCAGCGGGGAGGCGUUACCCGCAGAAGAAGCACCGGCUAACUCCGUGCCAGCAGCCGCGGUAAUUC
rnacentral:rRNA from 1 species